rnacentral:rRNA from 1 species
AGCCGCCGCGGUAACACCGGCAGCUCUAGUGGUAACAAUUUUAUUGGGCCUAAAGCGUCCGUAGCCGGUUUAAUAAGUCUCUGGUGAAAUCCUGUAGCUUAACUGUGGGAAUUGCUGGAGAUACUAUUAGACUUGAGACCGGGAGAGGUUAGAGGUACUCCCAGGGUAGAGGUGAAAUUCUGUAAUCCUGGGAGGACCGCCUGUUGCGAAGGUGUCUAACUGGAACGGUUCUGACGGUGAGGGACGAAAGUUAGGGGCGCGAACCGGAUUAGAUACCCGGGUAGUCCUAACUGUAAACGAUGCGGACUUGGUGUUGGGGUGGCUUUGAGCUGUCUCAGUGCCGAAGGGAAGCUGUUAAGUCCGCCGCCUGGGAAGUACGGUCGCAAGACUGAAACUUAAGGAAUUGGCGGGGGAGCACCACAACGCGUGGAGCCUGUCGGUUUAAUUGGAUUCAACGCCGGACAUCUCACCAGAGGCGACAGCUGUAUGAUAGCCAGGUUGAUGACUUUGCUUGACUAGCUGAGAAGUGGUGCAUGG